UGAAGAAAGCUAUGUUGGAUGUUGGGUGCAGAGACCAAGAACAAAAAGGAUUAGCUCUGUGCUCACAGGAUGGCGACGAAUAAUGACAUGGCAGCACCUCCUACGAGUGCUGGACUAGACUGCAUACAGGUGCUGCUUCGUCAGGUCGAUUCUUCCACGCAAGACGGGGAGGCCUUCAUCGAG